rnacentral:lncRNA from 1 species
GAAACAAUGGCAUGCCAACUCUCUCUCUCUCCCAGAGAUGGAAAAAUUCUGUUCUGAGCUAUAGAGGCUCAUUCGAGUGCUUUAUUGUCCGAUCCUUCAGCUUCCUAUUGAUCUACUCCAUCUGUGAAAUUAUAUGUCCGGAUAAGAUCAGUCAUCGAGUCUUUUUUUAAGUAAUAUAAAAAAAAUUUAAUUAUAAAAAUAAUUUAAUUUUAACUUAUUUAUCAAUUUGAUGUAAAAAUGAUAAAAUGUCAUUCAAAAUUAUGUUUUAUCUUCCACGU